rnacentral:rRNA from 1 species
AUUGAACGCUGGCGGCAGGCCUAACACAUGCAAGUCGAGCGGAUGAAGGGAGCUUGCUCCUGGAUUCAGCGGCGGACGGGUGAGUAAUGCCUAGGAAUCUGCCUGGUAGUGGGGGAUAACGUCCGGAAACGGGCGCUAAUACCGCAUACGUCCUGAGGGAGAAAGUGGGGGAUCUUCGGACCUCACGCUAUCAGAUGAGCCUAGGUCGGAUUAGCUAGUUGGUGGGGUAAAGGCCUACCAAGGCGACGAUCCGUAACUGGUCUGAGAGGAUGAUCAGUCACACUGGAUCUGAGACACGGUCCAGACUCCUACGGGAGGCAGCAGUGGGGAAUAUUGGACAAUGGGCGAAAGCCUGAUCCAGCCAUGCCGCGUGUGUGAAGAAGGUCUUCGGAUUGUAAAGCACGUUAAGUUGGGAGGAAGGGCAGUAAGUUAAUACCUUGCUGUUUUGACGUUACCAACAGAAUAAGCACCGGCUAACUUCGUG